rnacentral:piRNA from 1 species
UGUCAACCUUUGGUUUGCAUAUGCAUGC